GAUGAACGCUGGCGGCGUGCUUAACACAUGCAAGUCGAACGGCAAGGCUCCUGCUUGCAGGGGUACUCGAGUGGCGAACGGGUGAGUAACAGGUGGGUGAUCUGACCUGCAUUUCGGGAUAAGCCUGGGAAACUGGGUCUACUCCAGGAUAGGACGCUGGCUUGGAUGCCAUUGUGGAAAGCUUUUCGGUGUGGGCUGAGCAAGCGGCCUAUCAGCUUGUUGGUGGGGUAAUGGCUUACCACGGCGUCGACGGGUAGCCGGCCUGGGAGGUUGUACGGGCACAUUGGUACUGAGAGACGGCCCAGUGUGCUACGGGAGACAGCAGUGGGGAAUAUUGCACAAUGGUAGCAAGCCUGAUGCAGCGACGCUGCGUGGGUAAAGACGGCCUUCUGGUUAUAAACACCUUUCGCUAGAGACGAAGCGCAAGUGACGGUACCUAAAGAAGAAGCACCGGCUAACUACGUG
rnacentral:rRNA from 1 species